rnacentral:rRNA from 1 species
UAGGGAAUCUUCGGCAAUGGGGGCGAACCCUGACCGAGCAACGCCGCGUGAGUGAAGAAGGUUUUCGGAUCGUAAAGCUCUGUUGUAGAGAAGAACGUGUGUGAGAGUGGAAAGUUCACACAGUGACGGUAACUUACCAGAAAGGGACGGCUAACUACGUGCCAC